rnacentral:rRNA from 1 species
AUGGCUCAGGAUGAACGCUGGCGGCGUGCCUAACACAUGCAAGUCGAACGAAGCAUACCUGAAUGAGAUUCGUCGAAGGAUGGUAUGACGUAGUGGCGGACGGGUGAGUAAUGUAUGAGCAACCUGCCUUCAGAGGGGGACAACAGUUGGAAACGACUGCUAAUACCGCAUAAUGUAUUGAGAGGGCAUCCUUUUGAUACCAAAGGAGCAAUCCGCUGAAAGAUGGGCUCAUAUCUGAUUAGUUAGUUGGCAGGGUAACAGCCUACCAAGACUGCGAUCAGUAGCCGGACUGAGAGGUUGAACGGCCACAUUGGGACUGAGAUACGGCCCAGACUCCUACGGGAGGCAGCAGUGGGGAAUAUUGGGCAAUGGGCGAAAGCCUGAACCCCAGCAACGCCGCGUGAAGGAAGAAGGUCUUCGGAUUGUAAACUUCUUUUAUGAGGGACGAAGGACGUGACGGUACCUCAUGAAUAAGCCACGGCUAACUACGUGCCAGCAGCAGC